rnacentral:rRNA from 1 species
CCUACGGGAGGCAGCAGUAAGGAAUAUUGGUCAAUGGACGAAAGUCUGAACCAGCCAUGCCGCGUGAAGGAUUAAGGCCCUCUGGGUUGUAAACUUCUUUUAUCUGGGACGAAAAAAGGGUAUUCUUACUCACUUGACGGUACCAGAGGAAUAAGCACCGGCUAACUCCGUGCCAGCAGCCGCGGUAAUACGGAGGGUGCAAGCGUUAUCCGGAUUUACUGGGUUUAAAGGGUGCGUAGGUGGGCUUGUAAGUCAGUGGUGAAAUCUCCGGGCUUAACUCGGAAACUGCCAUUGAUACUAUAGGUCUUGAAUUAUCUGGAGGUAAGCGGAAUAUGUCAUGUAGCGGUGAAAUGCUUAGAUAUGACAUAGAACACCAAUUGCGAAGGCAGCUUACUACGGAUAUAUUGACACUGAGGCACGAAAGCGUGGGGAUCAAACAGGAUUAGAUACCCUGAUAGUCCACGCCCUAAACGAUGGAUACUCGACAUCAGCGAUACACUGUUGGUGUCUGAGCGAAAGCAUUAAGUAUCCACCUGGGAAGUACGAUCGCAAGAUUGAAACUCAAAUGAAUUGACGG